rnacentral:rRNA from 1 species
CAGGCCUAACACAUGCAAGUCGAACGAACCGCGACCGAGUGCUUGCACUUGGUCAAGGUGAGUGGCGAACGGGUGAGUAACACGUGGGUAACCUACCUCAUAGUGGGGGAUAACAGUCGGAAACGACUGCUAAUACCGCAUAGGACAUGGAAUCACAUGAUUCUGUGAGGAAAGGUGGCGCAAGCUAUCGCUAAGAGAUGGACCCGCGGUGCAUUAGCUAGUUGGUAGGGUAACGGCCUACCAAGGCGAUGAUGCAUAGCCGACCUGAGAGGGUGAUCGGCCACAUUGGGACUGAGACACGGCCCAAACUCCUACGGGAGGCAGCAGUAGGGAAUCUUCCGCAAUGGACGCAAGUCUGACGGAGCAACGCCGCGUGAGUGAAGAAGGUCUUCGGAUCGUAAAGCUCUGUUGUUAGAGAAGAACAGCGCAUAGAGUAACUGUUAUGCGUGUGACGGUAUCUAACCAGAAAGCCACGGCUAACUACGUGCCAGCAGCCGCGGUAAUACGUAGGUGGCGAGCGUUGUCCGGAUUUAUUGGGCGUAAAGGGAGUGUAGGCGGUCUUUUAAGUCUGAUGUGAAAGCCCACGGCUCAACCGUGGAGGGUCAUUGGAAACUGGGAGACUUGAGUGCAGAAGAGGAGAGCGGAAUUCCAUGUGUAGCGGUGAAAUGCGUAGAUAUAUGGAGGAACACCAGUGGCGAAGGCGGCUCUCUGGUCUGUAACUGACGCUGAGGCUCGAAAGCGAGGGGAGCA